CCAACAUGGGAACCAAGAAUUAUGCCAUUGUCAUGCCUUAUACAAAUGUUGAAGCUACUUUGAAUGCUCUAGUUGCUGCUGGUUUUGGUGUUGCAGGGGAACGGUGCACAACAAUUAGCACUGGUCUUUGUUGGAGGCUCAAAAUCACGGGAAGAUAAACUAGCAGAACGCACAAAGGUACUAAAGUAAAUGCUGGAACUGUGCCUGGUGCAGACCUCGGACCAGUAAUUAGCAAACAGGUCAAGGAACGGAUAUCCAAGUUAAUCCAAGCAAUUGUUGAUAGUGGAGCCAAACUAGUUCUUGAUGGGAGACAAAGUUGCGGUAAUUUCACUACUUUGCUGUUUUGUGUUUUUGAUUCUUAUGCUUCAGGAGUUGUUUGAUGAAGAUAACCUCCCGCCCUCCCAUAAAAAAAGGGACCCGCCCCUGGGUGAAAAGAGACCUGAGCUGAUUUAAAAAGUAUUGAACUUGAAAGAUUUGUUGAAAGAAACUAUUGAACUCGAUGAAUGUGAUUGUAAUUAGAUUUAUGGUACACUGGAUUGUCCUGAUAGUGCUAUCUCAUGAGUUAUACUUGCCAUAUGCUUGCAAUGCUUCUUCUGAAGCAUAACAAAUAAAACUGAUUGCAAUAGGAAGUCAAACAGAGUCAUUUUUCCUGUUUCCACUUGUAAGAGGCCUAAAGAAGAAUACAAGGUAUCAAAUGUUCAAAAAGAAGAGAAGAAGGUAUCAGUUCCUCAUAAUCUUUUUUCACUUAUUGAGGUAAUGUUUCAUUUCUCCAAAUUAACUUCCUUCAAUUGGCAGAAUCUGUAAGAUUCUUGUUUGUGUUUUUUCCUGAUUGACCAGACAUGUUAGUUUGAUUCCUUGGUCAUCUGUCUGCAAGUAAAGAUAAAAUAGGUAGCGUUGCAGACUUUCCACCAUUAGAUUAUUCUUUUGGUUGUCAGUCUCCGUGGCAAUGAUUGCAUUUUCUUUGAGAAACUCUUAGACAGGAGAAGGGAUGUGGUCUAAUAUGGAGUUCGUUUUUGCAAUUUAAAGGUACCAAAGCUGCUUUCUUCUCUCUUAAACAUUUGUGGAUGACAACUAGGUUUCCAAAUAUGAGUUGGGCAACUUCAUUGGUCUCACAAUAUUAUCUGAUAUCAAAGAAGACAUUGAAUGUUCCAAGGACGAACUACUAGGUCCUGUUCUUCUUUGUAUGCAGGUUUGUCCUAUGUUUCUAAGAUUCCUGUUCUUUGGUGCAUUUUCCUGGUCGUUUUAAGUGCGGGCUAAUAGCAUAGAUGAGGCCAUUAACUUUGUGAACCAAAAAAAUAUUGCUAUGGAACAUCUAUCUGCACGGGCUUCGGGGCACUUGCGAGGAAAUUCCAGAUUGAGAUUGAAACAAGACAGGUUUGCAUAAAUGCUGCUGCACCCAAGUAAAAACAGUGACUCAGCAAUGGAAGCAAUUCCCCAGUAGUGAAGGAGGAUCGCCAACAUUAACGUAAUGAUGGACUACAAGUUUUAAGUUAUCAGAGUGGCGAUGGAGUAUCUCCGGGGGAAGGGAUAUCUCAAAUGUAGAUAGAGUCCAUCUGCCUUUACACCCAAAUGAUUCCCAGUUUGUGAUGGUGAAUCUCUGGGAGAACAUUCAAGGGAUGAUAGUACCAAUAUUUGAUGGAUCUCAUUGGACAUUGAACUUUUGACUAGCAAAAAUUCAUAGUUGGAACUAGAAAAAUGUGAGUUAUCAGUUGUAGGUUUUUUGAAAUAACCUAAGUUAUCAUAUUACUAUAGUCUUCACUUAAAAAUAAUUCCUACAGUGUGACACUACCUCUCCAAUCUCCUAUCU